UACAGAGGGGGCAAGCGUUGUUCGGAACUACUGGGCGUAAAGGGCGCGUAGGCGGCCUUCUAAGUCGAACGUGAAAUCCCUGGGCUCAACCCAGGAACUGCGUCCGAUACUGGAAGGCUUGAAUCCGGGAGAGGGAUGCGGAAUUCCAGGUGUAGCGGUGAAAUGCGCAGAUAUCAGGAGGAACACCAAUGGCGAAGGCAGCUCUCUGGGACGGUACUGACGCUGAGGCGCGAAAGCGUGGGGAGCGAACAGG
rnacentral:rRNA from 1 species